rnacentral:rRNA from 1 species
AGCGAACGCUGGCGGCAGGCCUAACACAUGCAAGUCGAACGGGGAAAGGUAGCUUGCUACCUGACCUAGCGGCGGACGGGUGAGUAAUGCUUAGGAAUCUGCCUAUUAGUGGGGGACAACAUUCCGAAAGGAAUACUAAUACCGCAUACGCCCUACGGGGGAAAGCAGGGGAUCUUCGGACCUUGCGCUAAUAGAUGAGCCUAAGUCAGAUUAGCUAGUUGGUGGGGUAAAGGCCUACCAAGGCGACGAUCUGUAGCGGGUCUGAGAGGAUGAUCCGCCACACUGGGACUGAGACACGGACCAGACUCCUACGGGAGGCAGCAGUGGGGAAUAUUGGACAAUGGGCGAAAGCCUGAUCCAGCCAUGCCGCGUGUGUGAAGAAGGCCUUUUGGUUGUAAAGCACUUUAAGCGAGGAGGAGGCUACUUGGAUUAAUACUCUAGGAUAGUGGACGUUACUCGCAGAAUAAGCACCGGCUAACUCUGUGCCAGCCGCCGCAGUAAAAC